UUAAGCGACUAAGCGUACACGGUGGAUGCCCUGGCAGUCAGAGGCGAUGAAGGACGUGCUAAUCUGCGAAAAGCGCCGGCGAGGUGAUAUGAACCCUUGACCCGGCGAUGUCCGAAUGGGGAAACCCAGUGCAAUCCGUUGCACUAUCGUUAACUGAAUACAUAGGUUAACGAGGCGAACCGGGGGAACUGAAACAUCUAAGUACCCCGAGGAAAAGAAAUCAACCGAGAUUCCCCCAGUAGCGGCGAGCGAACGGGGAGCAGCCCGGAGUCUGAAUCAGCUUGUGUGUUAGUGGAACGGUCUGGAAAGUCCGACGGUACAGGGUGAUAGUCCCGUACACGAAAGCACACUUGCUGUGAACUCGAAGAGUAGGGCGGGACACGUGGUAUCCUGUCUGAAUAUGGGGGGACCAUCCUCCAAGGCUAAAUACUCCUGACUGACCGAUAGUGAACCAGUACCGUGAGGGAAAGGCGAAAAGAACCCCGGCGAGGGGAGUGAAAAAGAACCUGAAACCGUGUACGUACAAGCAGUGGGAGCCUCUUUAUGGGGUGACUGCGUACCUUUUGUAUAAUGGGUCAGCGACUUAUAUUCUGUAGCAAGGUUAACCGUAUAGGGGAGCCGAAGGGAAACCGAGUCUUAACUGGGCGUUAAGUUGCAGGGUAUAGACCCGAAACCCGGUGAUCUAGCCAUGGGCAGGUUGAAGGUUGGGUAACACUAACUGGAGGACCGAACCGACUAAUGUUGAAAAAUUAGCGGAUGACCUGUGGCUGGGGGUGAAAGGCCAAUCAAACCGGGAGAUAGCUGGUUCUCCCCGAAAGCUAUUUAGGUAGCGCCUCGUGAACUCAUCUUCGGGGGUAGAGCACUGUUUCGGCUAGGGGGCCAUCCCGGCUUACCAACCCGAUGCAAACUACGAAUACCGAAGAAUGUUAUCACGGGAGACACACGGCGGGUGCUAACGUCCGUCGUGAAGAGGGAAACAACCCAGACCGCCAGCUAAGGUCCCAAAGUCAUGGUUAAGUGGGAAACGAUGUGGGAAGGCACAGACAGCCAGGAUGUUGGCUUAGAAGCAGCCAUCAUUUAAAGAAAGCGUAAUAGCUCACUGGUCGAGUCGGCCUGCGCGGAAGAUGUAACGGGGCUAAACCAUGCACCGAAGCUGCGGCAGCGACACUAUGUGUUGUUGGGUAGGGGAGCGUUCUGUAAGCCGUUGAAGGUGUGCUGUGAGGCAUGCUGGAGGUAUCAGAAGUGCGAAUGCUGACAUAAGUAACGAUAAAGCGGGUGAAAAGCCCGCUCGCCGGAAGACCAAGGGUUCCUGUCCAACGUUAAUCGGGGCAGGGUGAGUCGACCCCUAAGGCGAGGCCGAAAGGCGUAGUCGAUGGGAAACAGGUUAAUAUUCCUGUACUUGGUGUUACUGCGAAGGGGGGACGGAGAAGGCUAUGUCAGCCGGGCGACGGUUGUCCCGGUUUAAGCAUGUAGGCGGAGGUUCCAGGUAAAUCCGGUACCUUAUUAACGCUGAGGUGUGAUGACGAGGCACUACGGUGCUGAAGUGAUAAAUGCCCUGCUUCCAGGAAAAGCCUCUAAGCAUCAGGUAACACGAAAUCGUACCCCAAACCGACACAGGUGGUCAGGUAGAGAAUACCAAGGCGCUUGAGAGAACUCGGGUGAAGGAACUAGGCAAAAUGGUGCCGUAACUUCGGGAGAAGGCACGCUGAUGUGUAGGUGAAGCCCCUGCGGGUGGAGCUGAAAUCAGUCGAAGAUACCAGCUGGCUGCAACUGUUUAUUAAAAACACAGCACUGUGCAAACACGAAAGUGGACGUAUACGGUGUGACGCCUGCCCGGUGCCGGAAGGUUAAUUGAUGGGGUUAGCGGCAACGCGAAGCUCUUGAUCGAAGCCCCGGUAAACGGCGGCCGUAACUAUAACGGUCCUAAGGUAGCGAAAUUCCUUGUCGGGUAAGUUCCGACCUGCACGAAUGGCGUAAUGAUGGCCAGGCUGUCUCCACCCGAGACUCAGUGAAAUUGAACUCGCUGUGAAGAUGCAGUGUACCCGCGGCAAGACGGAAAGACCCCGUGAACCUUUACUAUAGCUUGACACUGAACACUGGUCCUUGAUGUGUAGGAUAGGUGGGAGGCUUUGAAGCGUGGACGCCAGUCUGCGUGGAGCCNGACCCGUAAUCCGGGUUGCGGACAGUGUCUGGUGGGUAGUUUGACUGGGGCGGUCUCCUCCCAAAGAGUAACGGAGGAGCACGAAGGUUGGCUAAUCCUGGUCGGACAUCAGGAGGUUAGUGCAAUGGCAUAAGCCAGCUUGACUGCGAGCGUGACGGCGCGAGCAGGUGCGAAAGCAGGUCAUAGUGAUCCGGUGGUUCUGAAUGGAAGGGCCAUCGCUCAACGGAUAAAAGGUACUCCGGGGAUAACAGGCUGAUACCGCCCAAGAGUUCAUAUCGACGGCGGUGUUUGGCACCUCGAUGUCGGCUCAUCACAUCCUGGGGCUGAAGUAGGUCCCAAGGGUAUGGCUGUUCGCCAUUUAAAGUGGUACGCGAGCUGGGUUUAGAACGUCGUGAGACAGUUCGGUCCCUAUCUGCCGUGGGCGCUGGAGAAUUGAGGGGGGCUGCUCCUAGUACGAGAGGACCGGAGUGGACGCAUCACUGGUGUUCGGGUUGUCAUGCCAAUGGCACUGCCCGGUAGCUAAAUGCGGAAGAGAUAAGUGCUGAAAGCAUCUAAGCACGAAACUUGCCCCGAGAUGAGUUCUCCCUGAGACUUUAAGUCUCCUGAAGGAACGUUGAAGACGACGACGUUGAUAGGUCGGGUGUGUAAGCGCAGCGAUGCGUUGAGCUAACCGAUACUAAUGAACCGUGAGGCUUAACCUU
rnacentral:rRNA from 1 species